UCCGAAAUAGUAUAAGAAUUACACUAGUCUUGUAAACUUGAAAUGAAACUUUUUUCUUUCGGAU
rnacentral:tRNA from 1 species